rnacentral:rRNA from 1 species
UACGGGGGGGGCAAGCGUUGUUCGGAAUUACUGGGCGUAAAGGGCUCGUAGGUGGCCAACUAAGUCAGACGUGAAAUCCCUCGGCUUAACCGGGGAACUGCGUCUGAUACUGGAUGGCUUGAGUUUGGGAGAGGGACGCGGAAUUCCAGGUGUAGCGGUGAAAUGCGUAGAUAUUAGGAAGAACACCGGUGGCGAAGGCGGCCCACUGGAUCGGUACUGACGCUGAGGUGCGAAAGCGUGGGGAGCAAACAGG